AGAGUUUGAUCCUGGCUCAGAGUUAACGCUGGCGGCGUGCCUAACACAUGCAAGUCGAGCGAAGAGUACCAGAAUAUCGGGCUCUUAGCGGCAGACGGGUGAGUAACACGUAAACUAUUUGCCCUCGAAUGGGAGACAACCUGACGAAAGUUUGGCUAAUACCCCAUACAAUCCUCUCGGAGCAUUCCGAGGGGAUGAAAGGCCCGCAAGGGUCGUUCGAGGAGAAGUUUGCGGCCUAUCAGCUAGUUGGCGGUGUAACGGACCACCAAGGCUAUGACGGGUAGCCGAUCUAAAAGGAUGACCGGCCACAAGGGCACUGAGACACGGGCCCUACUCCUACGGGAGGCAGCAGUGGGGAAUUUUGGACAAUGGACGAAAGUCUGAUCCAGCGACGCCGCGUGAAGGACGAAGGUUUUCGGAUCGUAAACUUCUUUUGCAGGGGACGAAUACGCGCAAGCGUUUGACGGUACUCUGCGAAUAAGCCACGGCUAACUACGUGCCAGCAGCCGCGGUAAUACGUAGGGUGCGAGCGUUAAUCGGAAUUACUGGGCGUAAAGCGUGCGCAGGCGGUUCUAUAAGACAGAUGUGAAAUCCCCGGGCUCAACCUGGGAAUGGCAUUUGUGACUGUAGAGCUAGAGUACGGUAGAGGGGGAUGGAAUUCCGCGUGUAGCAGUGAAAUGCGUAGAGAUGUGGAGGAACACCAAUGGCGAAGGCAGCCCCCUGGGUCGAUACUGACGCUCAUGCACGAAAGCGUGGGUAGCAAACAGGAUUAGAUACCCUGGUAGUCC
rnacentral:rRNA from 1 species